GGAACUUAGAAGUUCUUGAUGUUCUGUUCUUACUCAGCAAUGUUUGAACACGAUGUUCAAACAAGCCGCCACUGAGCCAUGGAUGGCGAAUUGGCGGCGGUUGCGUUCAUUGCCAAUUCAUUCAUCAGAACAUCUAGUACUUCUUAGUUU
rnacentral:ncRNA from 1 species